GUUAACGUAGCUUAAUUAACUAAAGCAAAGCACUGAAAAUGCUUAGAUGAGUAACUAUUACUCCGUAGACA
rnacentral:tRNA from 1 species